rnacentral:misc_RNA from 1 species
UGAGACAAGCAUAUGACUACUGGCAGGAUCAAACCAGGUAGCAUCCCUAAUUGACAUAACCCGCCCGCUGGUACGAGCCAACACGGGACAGGCAAGUCUUUCAAGGUGAUGCGCCACUCUUUGACAAACCCUCCUGAUCCCAAUGGCAAAGCCGAUUCAGGCAAGACAGUAUGUCAUGUUAACUUUGACAAACCCUCCUGAUGGCAAAGCCAAAUCAGGCAAGACAGUAGGCAUUGUUAACUUUGACAAACCCUCCUGAUGGCAAGGCCAAUUCAGGCAAGACAGUAUGCAUUGUUAACUUUGACAAACCCUCCCUAUGGCAAAGCCGUUUCAGGCAAGACAGUAAGCAUUGUUAACUUUGACAAACCCUCCUGAUGGCAAGGCCGUUUCAGGCAAGACAGUAAGCAUUGUUAACUUUGACAAACCCUCCCGAUGGCAGGGCCAAAUCAGGCAAGACAGUAAGCAUUGUUAACUUUGACAAACCCUCCCGAUGGCAAGGCCAAACCAGGAAAGACAGCAGUCAUGUUAAGAGAGGCACAAACGCUAAAUGAGGGCAAAACAAGGAUCCCAUGAGACCCCAUGCCCACAUCGUUUUCCAUAUCCAGGAUACCAAGCAACGCUCAAUGGGCCACAACAUCAACGCAAGCAUAAUGUUGUGGAUCAAAGAGACCGCUUUGUGGUUCAUCCGAUGCCACAAAAAUGGCACGAGACGAAAUCAACUGUAAUCAACCAAGACAAUACCAAUGCUUAGGUACGCAACACAGAAACCCACAAUUUGGCCAGGCAAUAGAUGCCCAAACAAACAACUGAAGAGGUAUGCCGGGUGGA